UACGUAGGAGGCGAGCGUUGUCCGGAUUUACUGGGCGUAAAGCGCGCGCAGGCGGCACUUCAAGUAAGGUGUGAAAUCUCCCUGCUCAACGGGGAGGGUGCACUUUAGACUGAGGAGCUAGAGGACGGUAGAGGGGGGUGGAAUUGCUGGUGUAGCGGUGAAAUGCGUAGAGAUCAGCAGGAACACCCGUGGCGAAGGCGGCCCCCUGGGCUAACACUGACGCUCAGGCACGAAAGCGUGGGGAGCAAACAGG
rnacentral:rRNA from 1 species